rnacentral:lncRNA from 1 species
CCUGGGCUCAGACUAGAUGCUACGGGCUUGGCAGCAUCAUCUCAUUUAACCCAUCAGUAGGAGAUCUCAUUCCCCCAGGCAGCCUUCUGAACUCUGGAUGGCUUCCUAAAGGAAGUCCUAGGACUUCAGAGGUUUAAAGAAAGCUUCCGUCUCCCCUGGUACCCUCCUCACUGCCCAUCCCCCGGGCCGCUUUCCAGAUCACCAGCUCCCCUGGCUGUGGGCAGAAUCACCUGCGGAGAUGUUUGGGUAAUGAGAUGCCCAGGUCCACCUCUACAGACGGGCUUGGGUAAGUCUGGGCUUGGCCAAACACCGCAAAGGUUGAGAACCUCUGUUAUGGCAGGCCCAAGAAAACUACCAUUGGACAGAUGAGGACCAAGGAUCGGAGAGGAGAAAUGACUCACCCCAGGACCCCCGGAAGAGGAGGCUGGCCUAGAGGCUGCUCCUCCUGGCUUCUUAUCCUGCGCUUCUCCACAGCGGCUCAGCAAACGUCCUGUCUCCACACCAGCUUGCCUGUCAGCCCACAGUGGAGAGGGGUCCUUGGAGUCUUCCUGCCCUACCUGACCCCCCACCGAGAGCCUUUGGGAUUCCAGGACCUGGAAACCUCAUGCUCCUGGAUCUUCACGAAAUGCCCAGCCAGGUUCCCCAAGAACCACGACUGAUGAGCUCCCUUCCACAUCACGGCUUCUACUCCUUCCCAGAACCCCAAGGCAGGUUAUUAUCCCCUUAGACCACUGAGGCUCAGAGCAGCUAAGAAACUUGCCCAAGGUCGAUGCAAGAAGCAGAGCCAGGAAUCCAGUCCCUGUCUGUCUGCGUUUCCACCCCGCCAUCUGCCUCCUUGUGUCCAGAGAUCCACCCAGAAGCCAGCUCUGGCCCAGCUCCCUCCACGUCCUCCUCCAGGCUCCUGAUGCCUCAAGGUGAGGGUUGGAGGCCAGGGGACAAGUCACCUUAAAUCUUUUCCAGAGCAAGAUGGGGCAGGAACCAAGCAAACAUGAAGUGUCUAGAUGAGAAAAACUGGAGACAUUUUUCAUAAGACCUGAGAAAUGUUGGGGUUCAUCUCUUGGGUUAAAUAGUUCUGGUCAGGAACCUAACUUUUUUUUUCCUCUCAACUUUUUACCAGGAAAAAAUUUUAUACAUACAGGAAAGCUCCACAAAUAAUACAAUAAUAGCCCAUAUGCCCACAAUCUACAUUCUAGAAUUAACAUUUUCUCAGAUUUGCUUCAUCUGUGUGUUUUUCUAGACCGCUUGCGAGUGAGUUGCAGACACUGAGACAUUACACUCCUGAAUACUUCAGCCUGUGUCUCUUAAAAAGGACUUCUCCUUCUCGGCCAAAAUGCCGUUACUGCCUCUAAGAAAAAUUAACAAUUUCCUCAUAUCCAGUCAAUAAUCAAAUUUCCACAAUUGUUCCAGAAAUGUCUUUUAUAGUUAUAUUUUAAUAGUAGACUCCAAAGGUCAAACAUUGCAUUUGGUUGUUAUGUCUGUUUAGUCUUUGUUUAUCUAAAAUAGUACCCCCACUGUCUUUUGUCAUGCUGUUGAUUUCUUGAAGUGGUUGAGCUGAUGGUCUUGUAAAAUGUCCCACUGUUUUUUAUCUUAUCUGAUCAUUUCCCUGUGGCACUAUUUAACUUGUUGCUUUACUCUCUGUAUUUCCUGUAAACUGCAUGUUAGAUCCUGAGCUUGAUUAGAUUCGAGUUAAAGAUUUUUGGUCAGAAAACAUCUGUGGUAGCAGCUUCUAAGAUGGCCCGCAAUGGUCCCCAUCUCCUGGUGUUCAAACCCUUGUGUAGUCCCCUCUCCUUGAGUGUGGGCUGGACUUUGUGACUCACUUCUAGUAAAUAGAAUAUGGCAAAAGUAAUGGGAUGCCACCUCUGAGAUUAGGUUAUCAAAAAACUGUGGGUUGCUGUUGUGGGUGUUCUCUCUCGAUUUCUGUUGGAUCGCCCGUCCUGGGGGAAGCUAGAUGCCAUGUCAUGAGGCAGCCCCAUGGAGGGGUCCACGUGUCAAGGCGUUGAGGCCUGCCAAGAACCAUGUGAGUGAGCUUGGAAGUGGAUCUCCCCACCCCACCCCAUUAAGCCUUCAGAUGAGAAUGCAGCCCCAGCUGACAGCUUGACGGCAACUUCAUGAGAGACCUCGAGCCAGAGGCACCGAGCUAAAACGUUCCUGGAUUCCUAACCCACAGAAAUGGUGAUUAAAUAAAUAUUUAUUUUAGGCCA